rfam:Schistosoma mattheei strain Denwood, Zambia genome assembly, scaffold: SMTD_contig0000075
ACUCAGCUGACGAGUUCCAAAUAGAACGAAAUGCAUAUCAAACUGGAU